AGAAUUUUAAGCAAAAUGGCGACACUGUAAUGGAUGGAGGACGAAAAACGUACAGUGUCAAGUGUAAUGACAAACUUGCUAAUUGUUAUUGUUUCCUGCAUUGGGAAGGUGGGUUUUCAGAAGACCGUAGAGUGGAACCAAUGGUUUGGAACAGAUUGAACAUACUGGGGAGAUGGCUGAUAUAAAGCCAAAUGCACAAGAGGACAAAGAAGGCGAUGUGGUGGAACCAUUGUGUAAUAGCUCCGUUGCCACUCAGGAGCCAUUACAGCGUCACACAUCCUCCCUUAAGAACAAUGCUGCAAGGUUGUCAGAGCAGCUGUCCUCUGACAGACUCCCAAACCCUUUAAAUGGAGCACAGCCCAGUCCAAUUGUACCCAGCAGUGUCCCUGCUGUUCCCCACACAGCCCAAGCAGCCCAUUCACUACCUUUCGUAGCACUUGUUAAUGGACCUGCUUCACACCCUAACUCAGAGGAGAGCUGUGGCCUGAACAAAGACAGCACAACGCCCAACAAUGUCCUGGUGGAGGCCCAGGACACCCAACUAUGGCAAGCAGGGAGGGACACAAGCCCUCAGGUGUUACCGCCACCCAGUGAGCUUCAAUCAGACGCCCUGAAGAAUCCAGCAGGGCCAGGGCCUGUUCUGAAAACAUUAGCCACCACGCAGCCAGAGGCCAACAACACGUCACCAUCUGACUCUGGGGAGAGUGAGGCUGAACUUCCCUACCAGGUCCGUGACACCACCUUGUCAGACCACAGUCCACAGCCUCACCAAACGCCAGUUAACCAAAUAUGGACGGCUGAGGGAGUCAAGGCUAGAGCUAGAUCUAUAUGGGACUUACACACCACAGAGUCCUCUGAGAGCUCGUCGGACGGUUCUGACGGGGCUAACUCACUACACUGGGAUUCUCAGAAAGAGCUCAUACGGGUGUUGUGGAACAAUCGUAACGUUGACAACAGCUUACAGGAAAACACUGCGGGAGUGGGCGUGAUGCCUCAGCUUACCAGCCAAAGACAGAGGAAGCGUAAAAUACACCUGGUGGGUACGACAGGCUCUCCUGAAAAAGUUUACAACAGCAGCUCGAAUCACACCUACAAAAAGUGGCAUAUUGAAGAGGAGGAAGAUGAUGACGAGGAUUUUGACAUCGCCAACGUAAAUGAUGAGGAUUUCCCUUGUAAAAAGGCUGAUGUACAAUCUUCUGUGAAUUCAUGUCAAGAGCAUCCCAGUGACAGUCCUGUAAUCAUCAAGAAACUGAUUAUAAGAGCAGAUUGCCAUGAAGACAAUCACUCCGACUCCCUCUUUAGUAGAAAACCCAAGCAGCUAAAGACAGAGCAAUCCGAACAAGAACCAUCGUUCUUCCCAUGCACAAAGUGCAAUGUUAAUUUCAAGGAGAAAAGGCAUUUGCAUAGACAUAUGAUGUAUCAUUUAGAUGGGCAUAAUCAUCAGAUACGCCACCACGAGAACGUUCCAAGGCCUUUUAUAUGCAGGGAGUGUGGGCGUUCGUUCCGCGAUCGCAACUCCCUCCUCAAGCACAUGAUUAUCCACCAGGAGAGACGGGAGAAACUUAUGGAGGAGAUACAGGGACUCAACAAACUCCGAGACGAAGGCAGGAACGCCAAGCUGCAGUGCCCGCAGUGUGUGUUCGGGACCAACUGCCCCAAGACGUUCGUCCAGCACGCCAAGACACAUGAGAAGGACAAACGUUAUUACUGUUGCGAGGAGUGCAACCACAUGGCCCUGACAGAACGGGAGCUUGAAGCACACCUGUACACGGUGCACUGUGACACACUGCAGUACAAGUACAAGAACAUGAUCAAAGAUGAGGAGUCAGAGUUUCCUACAAAUAACAAUGAAGAUAAUGAAUCAAGAUAUGUUGUGUUUCACUGUAAAGUGUGCCCUUUCAGCACCCAGAAUCAAAAUGACCUGAAGAGCCAUUGUGACCUAAUACACCAGUUUUGUGAAGAUGAAUGUGAAAGUCCACCGUUUAACAAAGCAUCUGACCAUCAAGAUCAAUAUAGGCUAGCUGGCCCGUCCAAAAAAGCAGAUUUAAAACUCCUACAGCUGAAGCAAAAUGUCUGUAUUAAAAAGCCUGCUUUCCGGAAAAGAGCAGAUUUGCCCUUUUGGUCUAGUAGUGUAGCUGACUUUUACACGAGAAACAAAGCAGACGCACAGAAGUAUUAUAAAGAUCUUACCGCCUCCCAGUUCAAAUGUAGUCUUGGCAGCUCAACAAACAAGCUGUCACCAUCUAUGUGGAGGAGCGACAAGCCAAACAAAUUAUCUCCCAAACCAACAGAGAAAAUAGACGUGACAACAGGUCUCCCUUAUGUUGAGGAAGACAAUCAACAAUACGACCAUGUCAUUUCAGGAAUCUCAGAAAGGACAAAAUAUCCCUCAAAUGUUGAUGUGUUGGUUACAUCCAAGAUGGCUAAAAUAGGCCAGAUGCUGAAUCAUAGCUAUGACUCUGACAAGAGUCAGGGAGAUAGCAACGACUUGACCUGCAGGAAGUCAGAGCCCCAAGCUGUUACCCGAAAGUCUCCAUCCAAACGAAAAAUGUCCACACCAUUCCGCAACACUGUGGACAAGGUGGUUGAUAAUGUUUUUCCAAAACUGAACCCAAAGUUAAGAGAGACUACCACUCCUGAAGACACAGAAGAUGAUGAUUAUGAGGACACGUAUGACUUUAGUGCCUACACCAGCGAGGCUACAGCUAAUUUCCUGGAUAGUAGUGAGAAUGAGAGGAAUCCCUACGCCCGUAGCUACUUCAUACGCAGACAGAGGGGUUCUUUUGUUAAAGAAGAUCCUGCACCUGCUGCUGAUGUCGGACAUUUUGAAAAGAACACUACUCAGGCUGACCACCAUUUUGAAAAGACUGAAGUCAAGGAGGGGGAGUAUGACAGCGAUGACAUACAGAAGCUUAUCAUCAAAGAGGAGUGUAUAGAAAGCUCAGUGUGUGACGAUUCUCCGGAGUCACCCACCACCACCAAAACACACAACCAAAGUCUCUCCUAUGAGUAUGACGUAUCCCCUCCAUUUGGGUCAGAAAGAAAGUCCUGCCCCUAUUGUCCUGCUGUGUUUGAGUCUGGAGUGGGCUUGUCCAAUCACGUGCGAGGGCACCUGCACAGGGUAGGGCUGAGUUAUGAUGCUCGCCACGUGGUGUCACCUGAGCAGGUAGCUUCACAGGACCGACAGCCACGCAUACGCAGGAAGAUCCCCUCUGUGGCACGGAGGAUCAAAAAAGCUGAGAAGCCAGAGUCUCAGGCGGAGCACACCUGUCCCUUGUGCUGUGGCUGGUUCGACACCAACACGGGCCUUUCCAAUCAUGUGAGGGGACAUCUAAAGCGGAUAGGGAAGACCAGCACCACCAGCACCAGUAAGAGUCCAGUGUGUAUCCUUAACGAGCUGCUACAGGAUGAGCAGGAACACCAGAACAUCCUCCAGACCCUCAACAGGAAGCAGUUCCUCUCUCGACCAAUCAUCUCCCAGAAGUUCAUCGGGAGUGAUGGGCUCUUCCUGACACCCACAGGGUUCCCAGUGAAGAUCCAACAUGGCUGCCAGCCAGGCCAGGAUGGCAAUUCCACUUCAUGGGGGCCCAGUGCAACUACACUCAGGCAGGAGGAAGUUAAGGGAGAGGAGUUAUUUUCUGAAAGGAAGAGUAUAGAGAUACGAGGGGUCAGGGAACCUUCCCAGGGCACUUUAGUAGAGCUGUUGAGGAAGAGGAAGUUGGACAAGGAGCAGGGGCAGCUGAGGGAUAACAGCAGAUCGUAUGAUGCAGAUACUAAUCACUUUACUGUGACCAAAGAGAGGUUUGAGGAGAGACAGAACCAACAGGCCAGCAAUCUGGAACCACACUGGGCCCAAGAGAGAAAUGAAUCUAAUAAGAAGAUGUGCAUUCACUGUAACACAACCUUCCCCAGUGCUGUUAGCUUGUCCAAUCAUCUUCGCGCUUACGCACGCAGGAAGAGGGUUGCCAUGUUGGAAGGAAAAACCUAUUCCUGUAUACAGAAGAAGCCUAGGUUGAGGGCUGGACCAAAGAAGAAACUAUUCUCAGCUCUCCCAACUGCUGUUGAGGAGAUGUACAGACUCACCUGCAGCUGAUUCUGAUUCUGACCGGACCAAAGCUGAUUCUGACCGGGCUAAAGAAAUUACAAGAGUGAUAGAUUCUGUGACCUGGUCUUCCAGGGUCCUCUGUCCGUCCAGGAGGAUUGGAUCAAGCACUUACAAAGACACCUCAUGCACACCAGUGUCCCUCAUACAGGGGCUGGCAUGGUAGAGGUCCUGGGACUACACAAAGAGAUGUCCUCCUUUCCCCCCCAGCAGCACCCCUGUCUGGAGCACCCAAUGUCCAAAUUGCACCCCACAGCCCACGAGCCACUGGAGCACCAUGGGCACCCCUGCUUGGAACACCCCGAAACCCACGAGCACCCUGAGCCACAUGAUGAGCACCCCUUGCAUUAUGCAUAUCCCUCAUCCAAUGAGCACCCCAGCCUGGAGCAGCACACGGCCACGCCCCCUCCGGAGUUUCUUCCAGUGGCUUCCUGAGCUAAAGGGUUGUUUACAACAUUUUCACUUUAGAUCUUUAUCCUGCACAUGUAAAUAUGGAUAGAUACAUAGAAAUAUAUAGAGAUAAAUACAAAUAUUCUAAAGCUAUACAUAUGUUUUUCUUAAUAUGCACAUGGACCUACUAGCCCUUCUCUCUAUUUUUUAAGACUGGUAUCUAUACUAUACUGUAGAUGAUAAAUCUUGUUACUUAGACGUACAGAAACGUUACAGAAUUUACAGUUACAGAGAACUCUACUUGAGAUGCAAAAAGGCCAACAACAUUCGCUGAAGCUAGAACAGCUGUCAGAACCUUGUAUCUCAAUUUUUUUAACCUAAUGUAUGCAGUGCAGUUACCUCUUCUACGUUUAAGUGAAGUUUUACAUACAGAUAAUCUUGCCAUAUUGCAACAUGGACGCAUGUUAAAUGUGUCUUCUUGUUUCCUUCUUUACACUGUUUAGCAGUCAGUCAGAACUUUGAACCCAAUAGCAAUGGGGCGGCAGGUAGCCUAGUGGUUGGACCGUUGGGCCAGUAACCGAAAGGUCGCUAGAUUGAAUCCCUGAGCUGUCAAGGUAAAAAUCUGUCGUUCUGCCCCUGAACAAGGCAGUUAACCCAAUGUUCCUAGUCAGUCAUUGUAAAUAAGAAUUUGUUCUUAACUGACUUGCCUAGUUAAAUAAAAAUAAACCAAAAGAGACAACUCACACCUCAA